GGAUCAGGGUUCGAUUCCGGAGAGGGAGCCUGAGAAACGGCUACCACAUCCAAGGAAGGCAGCAGGCGCGCAAAUUACCCAAUCCAGACAUUGGGAGGUAGUGACGAGAAAUACCUGAGUGGAUCAAUGAUGCGCUACAGGAAUGAACGUAAUCUAAUAAUUUCGAUGAGUAUCUACUGGAGGGCAAGUCUGGUGCCAGCAGCCGCGGUAAUUCCAGCUCCAGUAGUGUAUAUCAAAAUUGUUGCGGUUAAAACGCUCGUAGUUGGAUUACGGGGGCCUCGAUUGGUACAUCUCAGAGGUGUAUCAAGGUAGACCCUCUUCAUCGCAAGAUCUGUGUGCGGACUUUAUUGUUUGCAUGCAGGAACUUGCGGAGCGUGCCUUGAAUAAAGCAUAGUGCUCAAAGCAGGCGUACGCUCGAGUGUGAUAGCAUGGAACGAAUAGAUAAACCUCGGUUUAGUUUGUUGGUUAUGGCAGGCUUCGGUCUGAAUCUAAACUGGGUUUUGAUUAAAAGGGACACUUGAGGGCAUUAGUACUUUGUGGCGAGAGGUGAAAUUCUUUGACCCACAAAAGACUGACUAUUGCGAAAGCAUUUGCCAAGAAUGUUUUCAUUAAUCAAGAACGAAAGUCAGAGGUUCGAAGACGAUCAGAUACCGUCCUAGUUUUGACAGCAAACGAUGCUACCACGGGAUCAGUCCGGAACGAUCCAGGUUGGUCCCCCCGGGAAACCUCAAGGGUUCUAGUUCCGGGGGGAGUAUGGUCGCAAGGCUGAAACUUAAAGGAAUUGACGGAAGGGCACCACCAGGAGUGGAGCCUGCGGCUUAAUUUGACUCAACACGGGAAAACUCACCAGGUCCAGACAUUGAAAGGAUUGACAGACUGAGAGAUCUUUCAUGAUACAGUGAAUGGUGGUGCAUGGCCGUUCUUAGUUGGUGGAGUGAUCUGUCAGGUCUAUUCCGGUAACGAGCGAGACCACGAUCUCUAUUUGAUUGAUGCACUUGUGCUUCGGCGCAUACGUUUGUGUUUUAUCAUAGAGAGACUACCGGAGGUAAAGCCGGGGGAAGCGUGGCAAUAACAGGUCUGUGAUGCCCUUCGAUGUCCUGGGCUGCACGCGCGCUACAAUGGCAGUGACAAAGAGUUGCCCUGCUCUGAGAGGAGUGGGAAAUCUUGUAAAUCGCUGUCGUAAUUGGGAUUGAGCCUUGUAAUUAUUGCUCAUGAAAGAGGAAUUCCUCGUAAGCGUGAGUCACUAGCUCAUGUUGAAUACGUCUCUGCCCUUUGUACACACCGCCCGUCGCUACUACCGAUGAAUGUAGCUUCGAGAAGGUAGGAUUGGACGACCUGGUUCCAGGA
rnacentral:rRNA from 1 species